rnacentral:rRNA from 1 species
GACAGAGGCCUCAAGCGUUAGGCGGAAUCACUGGGCUUAAAGCGUGUGUAGGCGGAUCGUUAAGUGCCUUGUGAAAUCCCACGGCUUAACUGUGGAACGGCUGGGCAUACUGGCGGUCUUGAGCCAUCUAGGGGCGGCUGGAACAAACGGUGGAGCGGUGAAAUGCGUAGAUAUCAGGAGGAACACCAAUGGCGAAGGCAGCUCGCUGGGACGGUACUGACGCUGAGGCGCGAAAGCGUGGGGAGCAAACAGG